AACGAACGCUGGCGGCAGGCUUAACACAUGCAAGUCGAACGCAUCCUUCGGGGUGAGUGGCAGACGGGUGAGUAACGCGUGGGAACGUGCCCUUCAGUUCGGGAUAACCCAGGGAAACUUGGGCUAAUACCGGAAACGUGCGAGAGCAGAAAGAUUUAUCGCUGAAGGAUCGGCCCGCGUCUGAUUAGCUAGUUGGUGGGGUAAUGGCCCACCAAGGCGACGAUCAGUAGCUGGUCGGAGAGGAUGAUCAGCCACAUUGGGACUGAGACACGGCCCAAACUCCUACGGGAGGCAGCAGUGGGGAAUAUUGGAUAAGGGGCGCAAGCCUGAUCCAGCCAUGCCGCGUGAGAGAUGAAGGCCUUAGGGUUGUAAAGCUCUUUCGUCCGGGACGAUAAUGACGGUACCGGAAGAAGAAGCCCCGGCUAACUUCGUGCCAGCAGCCGCCGUAA
rnacentral:rRNA from 1 species